UACGAAGGGUGCAAGCGUUACUCGGAAUUACUGGGCGUAAAGCGUGCGUAGGUGGUUUGUUAAGUCUGUUGUGAAAGCCCCGGGCUCAACCUGGGAAAUGGCAAUGGAUACUGGCAGGCUAGAGUGCGGUAGAGGGUAGUGGAAUUCCCGGUGUAGCGGUGAAAUGCGUAGGAGAUCGGGAGGAACACCAGUGGCGAAGGGCGGCUACCGUGGACCAGCACU
rnacentral:rRNA from 1 species